AGAGUUUGAUCCUGGCUCAGGAUGAACGCUAGCUACAGGCUUAACACAUGCAAGUCGAGGGGAAACGACAUCGAAAGCUUGCUUUUGAUGGGCGUCGACCGGCGCACGGGUGAGUAACGCGUAUCCAACCUGCCCACCACUUGGGGAUAACCUUGCGAAAGUAAGACUAAUACCCAAUGACGUCUCUAGAAGACAUCUGAAGGAGAUUAAAGAUUUAUCGGUGAUGGAUGGGGAUGCGUCUGAUUAGCUUGUUGGCGGGUAACGGCCACAAGGCGACGAUCAGUAGGGUCUGAGAGGAAGUCCCCANAUUGGAACUGAGACACGGUCCAAACUCCGUAACGGGAGCGA
rnacentral:rRNA from 1 species